CAAUGUGCUUCUGAGAAACUUUAAAUAACAAAGCUCCGAAGAAAUGAUAUCACUAUGCAAAUAAACAAGCAGACCCUACAGCUUCCCAUCAAAUUAUGUUUUUGUCGCUCCCACAGGAAGCAAUGCACAGUCAGAUGCUGCAGACGUCUCACUGUAAAUGAAUAGGCAGACCUACAGCGUCCCAAAAUAAGUACAAUGGUUUGUCUCCCCAGCAGGAAGGAAUGCACAGUGAGAUGGCCCAGUUCUCAGAACCAUGCAGCAGACUGCCUUUCCCGCCUGCCCCUCAGAACGGAUCCAGAGACUGUUGCUGCAGUCUCUGCCCUGCUGAAUGCUGUUCCCUCGUGUGACUUCCCAGAGGCCUGUAAUUCCUGUCCAGAGUUACAUCAGCUGCACAACUACAUGACAGACGGGUGGCCAGCUUCAUCCAAAGGCCUGCCUGCUAACAUGUUGUCGAAUUAUCAGGUGAGAAAUGAACUUUCUGUACAUGAACAACUCAUUCUGAAAGGGAGUCACAGGUUAGUGCUUCCAGUAAAGCUACGCUCACACAUGGUACACCUAGCACACGAGAGCAACCAAGCUAUUGUACGCACAAAACAGAGACUCAGAGACUUAUACUGGUGGCCUAAAAUAGAUGCCCUCGUACAGUCAGUUAUUGUUGCCUGUGUGUCCUGCCAGCUGAAUGAUAAGAUAGCUAAAACUAACCCUGCACCUAUGACACCAGUCCCUCUGCCUCAGGGGCCAUGGCAAAAGCUUGCACUCGACAUCACAGGCCCAUUUGAGACUGGUCCGGUGGACUGUAAGUUUGCUAUUACUAUGACUGACUAUUAUUCAAAAUGGCCAGAAGUUUUUUGCCCCAAGAUGCACUACUGCAACAGUGAUCGCCUUCAAGAGAUCAGUGUUCAGCCAAAAAGGUAACCCAGUUUCUGUGGUGACAGAUAACGGUCCACAAUUCACAUCCUCAGAACUCUCCUCUUUCCUUGAAGAAUGACACACUUAACGCAUCAGGACUUCAAUCCACCAUCCAGAAUUAAAUGGAGCAGUGGAGAGGCUAAAUAGAGUGCUGAAGGAAAGCAGUCUCACUGCACAAAGAGAGAAAGCUCAGUGGAAAGCUCAUGUUGCUGAGUUUCUUCAGGUCUACAGAGCUACACCUCAUGCCACUACAAGGACAUCCCCUUUCCAGCUCAUGUGUGGAAGAAAAAUGAGAACCAAACUCUCAAUCCGACCAAAGCUUAGUGAUAUGCAGGCAGGAACCGGGAGAUAGAGUGAAGAGAAACAGUAGCACAUGAAAACAUACUCUGAUGCUAAAAGAAAUGCCAAGAUUCCCAAAAUACUUCUAGGAAGCCUGUACGUGUGAGAAACCCGCGGCAUGUCAAAAAGGGCAAGCCAAAGUUCAGUGAGCCUCUUCAAGUGACUCAGCAGAAAGGACCUCACAGUUACACGCUAUUUGAUGGAAAAACCUGGGAUUCUUCACACCUGUAAAGUUCAAUCCUCCUGCAGAAGAAGUGAUGCCUGCUGAGCCAGCUACAGUUGAUGGUGCUCAGAGCAGGAACCAGCAAAUCAGAAAGCAGAUUGAGGACUAUGUCACUUAAACUGUGGUUGUAUUAAUGUUUGAAAAUGUUCUGUGUAUUGUGAUAUGUGAAGUUUACUACAGAUUGUUACUACAGAAGCGUCUGUCUGUAAAAUGCUUAUAUUAUGCAUACUGUUCAAAUGGAGAAGUAACUCUUUAAGGAAGGGGGGAAAUGUUAGGUUCAGAAUGAUACUCCUGCCAAUAGAGCAGUGGUUGUUCAAGUAUGAGCGAAGAGUAAAGACCGUAAACCUAUA